CCUACGGGGGGCAGCAGUGGGGAAUAUUGCACAAUGGGGGAAACCCUGAUGCAGCGACGCCGCGUGAGUGAAGAAGUAUUUCGGUACGUAAAGCUCUAUCAGCAGGGAAGAAAAUGACGGUACCUGACUAAGAAGCCCCGGCUAACUACGUGCCAGCAGCCGCGGUAAUACGUAGGGGGCAAGCGUUAUCCGGAUUUACUGGGUGUAAAGGGAGCGUAGACGGCAGCGCAAGUCUGGAGUGAAAUCCCAUGGCUUAACCAUGGAACUGCUUUGGAAACUGUGCAGCUAGAGUGCAGGAGAGGUAAGCGGAAUGCGUAGUGUAGCGGUGAAAUGCGUAGAUAUUAGGAGGAACACCAGUGGCGAAGGCGGCUUACUGGACUGUAACUGACGUUGAGGCUCGAAAGCGUGGGGAGCAAACAGGAUUAGAUACCCGGGUAGUC
rnacentral:rRNA from 1 species